ACGGAUGAAAAUCCACGAGGGGCUGGGUUUGGGUGGGUUCCCAUCCCUUUCCCACUGGCAGGUGCCAGCCUGCCCUGGGGGAACAGGAGCUCUUUCCUUGGUGGCAGCCUCAAUUCUCACCCCAAAUAAUCCCAAAUUUCUGGGUUUUCUGCCCAGGGGGCACAGGAGCUCUCUCUCCUUGGUGGCAGGGCAGCCUCAAUUCUCACCCCAAUCCCAAAUUUCUGGGUUGCCUGCCCAAGGGGAACAGGAGCUCUCUCUCCUUGGUAGCAGCCUCGAUUUUCACCCCAUAAUCCCAAAUUUCUGGGGUGCCUGCCCAGGGGGAACAGGAGUUCUUUCUCCUUGGUGGCAGGGCAGCCUCAAUUCUCACCCCAAAUAAUCCCAAAUCUCUGGGUUUUCUGCCCAGAGGGAACAGGAGCUCUCUCUCCUUGGUGGCAGCCCCAAUUCUCACCCCAAAUAAUCCCAAAUCCCUGGGGUGCCUGCCCAGGGGGCACAGGAACUCUCUCUCCUUGGUGGCAGCCUCGAUUCUCACCCCAUAAUCCCAAAUCUCUGCGUUGCAGAUUCCUCAGGAAACAAGGAUAAACUCCAAACGAGGAGAUGGCAGAGUUGUGAUCCCCACAGUGAAUCCUGCCGGCUCUGAGGACACCAAGCCCUGCUCUGUGCCACCUCCC
rnacentral:lncRNA from 1 species